rnacentral:sRNA from 2 species
GGCGCCGAUCGUUAGCUGAGGCUCCUUCGUGAACACACGCCAGCGACCCCAUACGUCGAGAGACGCUCCGGGUCAGGACAGGCUUCCCCGGCUUAAGGGGUCGCCCCGAUUGGCUCCCGCUCCCGGGUGACGUCACGAAGUGCCAAAGGUCUUACGUGGAGAGGCUGA